UACGUAGGUGGCGAGCGUUGUCCGGAUUUACUGGGCGUAAAGAGCGCGCAGGCGGUCGUACAAGUCGCGUGUGAAAGCCCCUGGCUCAACUGGGGAGGGUCACGCGAUACUGUUCGACUCGAAGGCAGGAGAGGGAAGUGGAAUUCCCGGUGUAGCGGUGAAAUGCGCAGAUAUCGGGAGGAACACCAAUGGCGAAGGCAGCUUGCUGGGACGGUACUGACGCUGAGACGCGAAAGCGUGGGGAGCAAACAGG
rnacentral:rRNA from 1 species